UCAAGAAACUUCCACAAUGGGCGAAAGCCUGAUGGAGCGACGUCGCGUGAUGGACGAAGUGCUUCGGCACGUAAACAUCUUUUAUGUGGGAUGAAAUUAUUGACAGUACCACAUGAAUAAGGGGCUCCUAACUCUGUGCCAGCAGCCGCGGUAAUACGUAGGGACCAAGCGUUGUUCGGAUUUACUGGGCGUAAAGGGCGCGUAGGCGGCGUGGUAAGUCAUCUGUGAAAUCUCCGAGCUUAACUCGGAACGGUCAGAUGAUACUGCUGUGCUAGAGUACAGAAAGGGCAAUCGGAAUUCUUGGUGUAGCGGUGAAAUGCGUAGAUAUCAAGAGGAACACCUGAGGCGAAGGCGGUUGCUAGGCUGAUACUGACGCUGAGGCGCGAAAGCUAGGGUAGCAAACGGGAUUAGAUACCCCAGUAGUCCCUGAGCGGGCUGGCAAGGCGCAU
rnacentral:rRNA from 1 species